AUAACAUUAGUGAUUGGGACAGUAGUCUAUGGCGGAUAGUCACAGCGAGCCGGGUCGUUGGAAGCCGGUACGGAUGCCUUAGAUGAAACGGGCCCAGGAAAUGGUUUGCCGAACCGAAAUUGCAGCAGUAGGCAAAUCCGGUCAUAGACCGUUAUGAAAACGAGGGGUCAAGCCAGAAUUAGGCUUGGCACUUAGAGUGGUACCACGGGAUCUUUACGGCUCUCGUCUCUUAU
rnacentral:ncRNA from 1 species